rnacentral:lncRNA from 1 species
UGGUAAAGGGUUAUUUUCGUACAACGUUUUCGGCCUUUUUAUUUUACGUGUUUUCGUGUUUUGACGUUUUAUUUCUCGUUUUCUCGUGUUUGGUUCUCAUGUGCGUGCUUCGUGUUUCCCCUUAUUUAUUUUCCGUAUUUCGUGUCGAUACUCUUAAUUUCUCGUGCUUGUCAUGCUUGUCCUGCAUUUGAUUAAAAAGUAAACCGGCUCUAAUUCAAAGUCAGCCGGGAUAUUAUUUAAAUUAUGCAAUUCUAUGUUAAAUACAUGUAUGGAACGUAAUAGAGUCCAUC